GCCCCCGUGGUGGAAUCGGUAGACACAGCUGACUUAAAAUCAGCCGCUGCGGCGUGCGGGUUCGAGUCCCGCCGGGGGCG
rnacentral:tRNA from 1 species